rnacentral:rRNA from 1 species
AAUGGGUCAGCGACUUAUAUUCUGUAGCAAGGUUAACCGAAUAGGGGAGCCGAAGGGAAACCGAGUCUUAACUGGGCGUUAAGUUGCAGGGUAUAGACCCGAAACCCGGUGAUCUAGCCAUGGGCAGGUUGAAGGUUGGGUAACACUAACUGGAGGACCGAACCGACUAAUGUUGAAAAAUUAGCGGAUGACUUGUGGCUGGGGGUGAAAGGCCAAUCAAACCGGGAGAUAGCUGGUUCUCCCCGAAAGCUAUUUAGGUAGCGCCUCGUGAAUUCAUCUCCGGGGGUAGAGCACUGUUUCGGCAAGGGGGUCAUCCCGACUUACCAACCCGAUGCAAACUGCGAAUACCGGAGAAUGUUAUCACGGGAGACACACGGCGGGUGCUAACGUCCGUCGUGAAGAGGGAAACAACCCAGACCGCCAGCUAAGGUCCCAAAGUCAUGGUUAAGUGGGAAACGAUGUGGGAAGGCCCAGACAGCCAGGAUGUUGGCUUAGAAGCAGCCAUCAUUUAAAGAAAGCGUAAUAGCUCACUGGUCGAGUCGGCCUGCGCGGAAGAUGUAACGGGGCUAAACCAUGCACCGAAGCUGCGGCAGCGACACUGUGUGUUGUUGGGUAGGGGAGCGUUCUGUAAGCCUGUGAAGGUGUGCUGUGAGGCAUGCUGGAGGUAUCAGAAGUGCGAAUGCUGACAUAAGUAACGAUAAAGCGGGUGAAAAGCCCGCUCGCCGGAAGACCAAGGGUUCCUGUCCAACGUUAAUCGGGGCAGGGUGAGUCGACCCCUAAGGCGAGGCCGAAAGGCGUAGUCGAUGGGAAACAGGUUAAUAUUCCUGUACUUGGUGUUACUGCGAAGGGGGGACGGAGAAGGCUAUGUUGGCCGGGCGACGGUUGUCCCGGUUUAAGCGUGUAGGCUGGUUUUCCAGGCAAAUCCGGAAAAUCAAGGCUGAGGCGUGAUGACGAGGCACUACGGUGCUGAAGCAACAAAUGCCCUGCUUCCAGGAAAAGCCUCUAAGCAUCAGGUAACAUCAAAUCGUACCCCAAACCGACACAGGUGGUCAGGUAGAGAAUACCAAGGCGCUUGAGAGAACUCGGGUGAAGGAACUAGGCAAAAUGGUGCCGUAACUUCGGGAGAAGGCACGCUGAUAUGUAGGUGAAGUCCCUCGCGGAUGGAGCUGAAAUCAGUCGAAGAUACCAGCUGGCUGCAACUGUUUAUUAAAAACACAGCACUGUGCAAACACGAAAGUGGACGUAUACGGUGUGACGCCUGCCCGGUGCCGGAAGGUUAAUUGAUGGGGUCAGCGCAAGCGAAGCUCUUGAUCGAAGCCCCGGUAAACGGCGGCCGUAACUAUAACGGUCCUAAGGUAGCGAAAUUCCUUGUCGGGUAAGUUCCGACCUGCACGAAUGGCGUAAUGAUGGCCAGGCUGUCUCCACCCGAGACUCAGUGAAAUUGAACUCGCUGUGAAGAUGCAGUGUACCCGCGGCAAGACGGAAAGACCCCGUGAACCUUUACUAUAGCUUGACACUGAACAUUGAGCCUUGAUGUGUAGGAUAGGUGGGAGGCUUUGAAGUGUGGACGCCAGUCUGCAUGGAGCCGACCUUGAAAUACCACCCUUUAAUGUUUGAUGUUCUAACGUGGACCCGUGAUCCGGGUUGCGGACAGUGUCUGGUGGGUAGUUUGACUGGGGCGGUCUCCUCCUAAAGAGUAACGGAGGAGCACGAAGGUUGGCUAAUCCUGGUCGGACAUCAGGAGGUUAGUGCAAUGGCAUAAGCCAGCUUGACUGCGAGCGUGACGGCGCGAGCAGGUGCGAAAGCAGGUCAUAGUGAUCCGGUGGUUCUGAAUGGAAGGGCCAUCGCUCAACGGAUAAAAGGUACUCCGGGGAUAACAGGCUGAUACCGCCCAAGAGUUCAUAUCGACGGCGGUGUUUGGCACCUCGAUGUCGGCUCAUCACAUCCUGGGGCUGAAGUAGGUCCCAAGGGUAUGGCUGUUCGCCAUUUAAAGUGGUACGCGAGCUGGGUUUAGAACGUCGUGAGACAGUUCGGUCCCUAUCUGCCGUGGGCGCUGGAGAACUGAGGGGGGCUGCUCCUAGUACGAGAGGACCGGAGUGGACGCAUCACUGGUGUUCGGGUUGUCAUGCCAAUGGCACUGCCCGGUAGCUAAAUGCGGAAGAG